UAGAGUAGGCUUUAGUGCGUAAAGUGUCAAAGAAUGGGGUGUUGUCUUUGAACGAAGAGAAAUCACGAUACUACUGCCGCAUCCGCUA
rnacentral:ncRNA from 1 species